AUCAACUUUCGAUGGUAGGAUAGAGGCCUACCAUGGUGGUAACGGGUAACGGGGUGUUAGGGCACGACACCGGAGAGGGAGCCUGAGAAACGGCUACCACAUCCAAGGAUGGCAGCAGGCGCGCAAAUUACCCAAUCCCGACACGGGGAGGUAGUGACAAUAAAUAACAAUACGGGGUUCUUUAGGAUCUCGUAAUUGGAAUGAGUACAAUUUAAAUCUCUUAACGAGGAACAAUUGGAGGGCAAGUCUGGUGCCAGCAGCCGCGGUAAUUCCAGCUCCAAUUGCGUAUAUUAAAGUUGUUGCAGUUAAAAAGCUCGUAGUUGAAUUUCGGGAUUGGCGCAUCGGUCGUGCCUCACGGGGUAUGAACUGGUGCAGUCAAUUUCUCACCUUCUGGAGAACCGCGAUGUCCUUAAUUGGAUGCCGCGGGGAACCAGGACCUUUACUUUGAAAAAAUUAGAGUGCUUAAAGCAGGCAUUUUUGCUUGAAUACAUUAGCAUGGAAUAAUAAAAUAGGACGGCAUGGUUCUAUUUUGUUGGUUUCUAGGACCACCGUAAUGAUUAAUAGGGAUAGUUGGGGGCAUUAGUAUUCAAUUGUUAGAGGUGAAAUUCUUGGAUUUAUUGAAGACUAACUACUGCGGAAGCAUUUGCCAAGGAUGUUUCAUUAAUCAAGAACGAAAUGUUAGGGGAUCGAAGACGAUCAGAUACCGUCGUAGUCUUAACCAUAAACUAUGCCGACAGGAAUCAGACGAUGUUAAUUUUUAAUGACUCGUUUG
rnacentral:rRNA from 1 species